AAGGAAAUUUACAUGACCAUCCAACAGUACCGAAUGAACACCUCAGAAUGUACUAUGUAAAUGAGGGUAUAUUCGGAAGUUUUCUGACAUGUUUGAUUGAUCCGGGGUGUUAUGUAUCUUCACACUUUAAAGGCAAUCAUGAAGAGGUAUUGUAUAACAGUACUAUUUGGGGACCAACUUCCGCUGCAGUGGAUUUAGUUAUAGACAAAAUCAAACUACCCGACCUAUCUACUGGAGAUUGGAUAUACUUCAAAGAUGUGGGAGCAUACUCCUAUACUACAGCAACCAAUUUUAACAGUAUGCCAAGAGUCGAGGAGUACUUCACAUGUGAAAAGAAAUUAUGGGAACAAGUAUAUCAACAUGAUCAAUUUUAGCUGCCGUCUUGAUAUAGCAUAGCACAAAAUGAAUAUAAAAUGACUUCGUAUAUGACGUACUGUAACAUUUAUUACUCUUGUUAUAUAUCAUUUACUGUAUAUUAUUGCUCGUACAAUUGAAAACAUGUCCCGGAUAGGAGAAGAUAUUUAAAAUAGAUAAAAUUUUUAUAUUGGUAUUGAAGAUCCAAUCUGGUGCCCGAUCAAUGGACAAAGCUGCCUUUACUGGUUUACCUUGCUAUAUUCGAAUGUCGUGUGAAUUCAUAUUGAAAGAUAAGAGAAGGGACAAAGAUGAACAAGUUUAUGAGUGCUAAUCAGACUAUAUAUGCAUAUACACCUACACUUAAAUACAAAUUACUUCCAAUGAUCUUCGAAUAUUGUGACAGAAAACACGUUUUCCAUAUUAAAAAACAUAGGCGUAUUCGAUUGAGGGGACUGAGGCUACAUAUAUGGUUAAUACAUACACUUUUCACUUAUAAUAUGUUGACUACUUUACUACUUUGGGUCACCCUUUUUCAACAUCCAGGAUCUGCAUCUGAUUUAAACCAAAUGAUAUAUAAAAAAAACUGCUAAGCCAAAACCACAAAAUACCCAUCCCCCAAAUUGUGCAUUAUAAUUGACUAAGUUAUCACCCGGUGUUCAUUUCAAAAGGAAUUUCAUUUUCUCCAAGAUCGCCAAUAAAGAAGGGAUUCUCCUAUGAAAUAUAUAGAUUGAUCUAUAAUUUCGUAACUAGUGUUUGAAAUAUCAUGUUUGUGAACAACCACUUCAAUGAUUGAGUAUAACAGCUUUUCUUGUUUUUGAAUGCACUGUUUUAUGUGUAUAUUAUAAUUGUUGUCGAUGUGUCACUUAACGCAGACAUAAGUGUCACUUGUUUACUAUUCUUUUCUGAGUCGACAUGUUUUUUUUUUAUUUUAAAAGUGAUUUUAAAAUUAAAUUUUUAAUACCUCUUCUU